CUGACCUGGUUCAUAGAUCGAUGCUCAACCACUGCGCCUUGCCAGCGGGGCCAGAAAUGCAACAUUUUAAUUAGAAGUUGCCAACAAGUGACAAAUAAGAUGCAGCCUUUCUUCCCUACAUACUAGUAUUUCUAAAUUCUCCGCAUUAUUAACUGGUACACCUAGUAUUUCUAAACUUAGUAUUUCUAAAUUCUCAUGCUUCUCGGAGGGUUACGGAGAAAAGGCCCUCCUUCCAUCUGGUUGAGAGAAGUCUCCCUCUUGUGUGUGUGU